rnacentral:tRNA from 1 species
GCGGCGAUAGUUCAGUGGUAGAGCCCCGCCUCGCGUGCGGGAGGCCCGGGUUCGAUUCCCGGCUGUUUCC